GCCCCCCAUGCCCACUCUCUCUUAUUUCGUGUGACAAAAUCUUCUCUCCCAGACCUUCAUGCAUGCCCAAAGCUUUCCACUCUUUCUCUCUUACAUGGAAUGUGGUUGUGGACCAUGUUAAAGUAGGAAUUAGUUUGGAUUUCAAAUUCUAUGAGAUAGAAUUUUAGAAAACCAAAACUCUUUCCUUAUGACACUGAUUUUAUCUAAAUUUUUUCUAAGAUUUUUAUGAAUUUUAUGGCACAUAUU
rnacentral:lncRNA from 1 species